GGCAAGGAGGUAAAAAUGGUAAAAAAAAA
rnacentral:misc_RNA from 1 species